UCGAAACCUGCAAAGCAGAACGACCCGCGAACACGUUUACCAACCCCGAGGGGUGAGGCAUGCCUCAUCCCCCUCGGAGCCCGAUCGCGCCGCCUCCCCCUCCCCGUCAAAAAGGUAGGCGGGACGGCGUGUGACGGCAAGUACCCAAACACCGGCGCGGGUUGCGCCAAGGACUAUGAAAUUUUACCGCGUCACCCGGCCUUAGGAAACUUUGUGCCGCGGAGAAAGGCGAGUUGAAAAAUAUAACAGAACGACUCUCGGCAACGGAUAUCUCGGCUCUCGCAUCGAUGAAGAACGUAGCGAAAUGCGAUACUUGGUGUGAAUUGCAGAAUCCCGUGAACCAUCGAGUCUUUGAACGCAAGUUGCGCCCGAAGCCAUCCGGCUGAGGGCACGCCUGCCUGGGCGUCACGCAUCGCGUCGCCCCCUCCCCCUCCACUUCGGAGCGRAGAGAGGGGCGGAGUAUGGCCCCCCGUACGCCCCCGCGUGCGGCCGGCCUAAACAAGGAGCCCGUGUCCGCGAUAGCCGCGACGUUUGGUGGUUGUCUAUCGAUCGAGCAUCGCGUCGCGUGCUGCAGCGUCCCCGGAUAGCUCGAAGGACCCUUAGGCCCAGUAGCCUACCCUUGCGACCCC
rnacentral:rRNA from 1 species